rnacentral:lncRNA from 10 species
AGCUAAUGCGUGUCCGGCACCUCGCGUAGUGUGGUGUCUGGGACAGUGCCUGGUGCUGUCAGCUGGAGCUGGCAGGCCCACAUUGGAAGCAUCUUCUAAGUAGGAAGGGGAGACAAGGGCUUGAAGCUGGGGGAGAUGGGGAAAGCCUCCCGCCCCAUCCACGCCAUUCCUGCCUUCCCCUCGUCCUGGGUAUUUUGGAGCCUGCCAGCUGAGGAGUGCUCUCCCAGGGUUGGGACUGCAGGCGCCUGACAAACUGAAGAGCACUGAAGCUGGAGAUGCAAAGAAGAGGGAGCAUUGACUAUGUUCUUGGAGCAACGAGCAAGUCAGUGAGGCACGCGUGUGACAGGUGCCUUUCCUGAACCCAGCAAUCCUCCUCCCCUUUCCCUGGCUCUCCUGGGAACUCCUAAUGAAGUCAGAAUAAGCCACUCCAUCAAUUUAUGAUCCCCAGAUGACUGUGUCCCUUUGCUCCUUAAUCACUCAGGUACCCAGAUUCUCUAUUAGCAAGAAGCCCAGAACCCCCUUCUCGAGUCCUCUCUCGUUUUCAAUCUUCCAAGGACACCGAAGUCUUCCUUAACCCACUGCUGGGGGUUGACUGCCGAAGGUCACUGAUGCCGGGGCAUCUUGCCACCACAUGGGGGCACUGCCAAAGAUGUGUGCAGAAUAGUCCUGCAGACACUGCGCUCGGCAGCGGAGCUCAUGCUAGGCGAACCCUUGCCUGGGUGUUGGAGGUCACCCACACUUGAGACUUGAGUUUACAGCUCUCAUGGGUCACUCUUAAAUACUCAGAGCAGAAUGCCAAGUGACUCCUCAUCCAUGCUCCAUGCACCCUGGAUCCCAGAACGGGGCACAUCACUUUCCUCCACCACUGUCGCCCUGCUCGCCACCACCUCCUCCCGCUAGGCCGGGCUUUCUCAACCGCCACCCCUUUGACAUUUGGGGCCAGAUCUUUCUCCGCUGUGGGGACAUGGCAGGAUGCUUGGCAGCACCCCUGGCCUCUGCCUAUCAGGUGCCUGUAGCACACCACCACUAUGACAAGAAAAAAUGUCUCUAGACAUUGCCCAACAUCCCCUGAGGAGCAGAAUGGCCCCAGUGGAGAGCCAGUGCCCUAGACUAUUGGGGUACCACCCCUCCACGCUGGCCUGGACCCCCUCUACACUGGCCUAGACCCUCUCAACACUGGCCUGAACCCCCUUCAUGCUGGCCUGGACCCCCUCCAACUGGCCUGGACUCCCUCCCCUGGCCCCUUGCCUCCCUUUCUUGACAUCACAGUAGGGGUGAGCUUUAAAAAAACCACACAGCUCGUGAUGCAUGUCACGCUAGGUUCAAAAGCGCUGGGUGGUUUCUCUUGGUAUUUGAGAUCCACACCUCUGCCUUAGUGCCCGGGCCCUGCAGGGCCUGACCUCACCCCUGUCUCCAGCUUGACUGGCUCCCACACCAGGCACAAGAGCCCUGGCUGUGACAUCAGCACGCUCUGUCCUCUCUGCCUUAAGCCCUGUUCAGUCUGUCGCUGCAUUCCAGGCCCUUCCACACCCCAGGGGCCUGCAGAGGCCCUGGGACCCCGCCCCUGGUGUUGCCCACUCUACUACGCCUCUUGGUCCAUCUGCCUGAUUUAUGCCUUCAUUACCUUUCCUUAGUUAUAUCCGGUUUCUGUUUUAUUAGUUUAUUUUUAUUGUAUUUACUUCUGUCAUUCCCAUUAGACUGUCAGCUCCG